AGCCACGCGGAGAGCACAAAGCGAACUAUUCUUUCGCCUUUUACUAAAGAUUACGGUGCGCUCGCCACAGAAAGUGGCAAACCGAAGUUUUUGGAGGGGUCUUUUCCUUUGGAUUAG